AGCGGAGGAAAAGAAACCAACAGGGAUUGCCCCAGUAACGGCGAGUGAAGCGGCAACAGCUCAAAUUUGAAAUCUGGCCUUCGGGUCCGAGUUGUAAUUUGGAGAGGAUGCUUUUGGCGCGGCGCCGUCCGAGUUCCUUGGAACAGGACGCCAUAGAGGGUGAGAGCCCCGUACGGGCGGCCGCCUAGCCUUUGUAAAGCUCCUUCGACGAGUCGAGUAGUUUGGGAAUGCUGCUCAAAAUGGGAGGUAAAUUUCUUCUAAAGCUAAAUACCGGCCAGAGACCGAUAGCGCACAAGUAGAGUGAUCGAAAGAUGAAAAGCACUUUGAAAAGAGGGUUAAACAGUACGUGAAAUUGUUGAAAGGGAAGCGCCUGUGACCAGACUUGCGGCUCGCGGAUCAUCCGGUGUUCUUCACCGGUGCACUCCGCGGACUGCAGGCCAGCAUCGGUUUUCCUAGGGGGACAAAGGUCGCGGGAACGUAGCUCUUUCGGGAGUGUUAUAGCCCGUGGCGUCAUGCCUCUGGGGGGACCGAGGACCGCGCUUCGGCAAGGAUGCUGGCGUAAUGGUCACCGGCGACCCGUCUUGAAACACGGACCAAGGAGUCAAGCAUUGGGGCGAGUGUCUGGGUGCCAAACCCGCACGCGAAAUGAAAGUAAACGCAGGUGAGAGCUUCGGCGCAUCACCGACCGAUCCUGAUGUCUUCGGAUGGAUUUGAGUAAGAGCCUUACCGCUUGGACCCGAAAGAUGGUGAACUAUGCCUGUAUAGGGUGAAGCCAGAGGAAACUCUGGUGGAGGCUCGCAGCGGUUCUGACGUGC
rnacentral:rRNA from 1 species